UUGCCUUCCUCCCAUUUUUUUCUCUCUGUCUCUUUCUCUCUCUCCUCUAGUGUGUUGGCCAACUUUCUCACUCUAUUUCCUCUUCUCUCCUCGUGCCGUCUCCGUUCGUAGGACCACGGGCAUCCGUGCUAGGUGUGCAUCCUAGCCAGGUCUCGGGAGCCACGGAGAAGUAGGAGCGGACGAAAACCAUGCGGGGCAGUGGGCACUAAAGUGGAGCUGUGACUGUUUGUGUUUACUCGGUCUCUGUUCAUCGAGUGGGGCUGAUGUAGAUGGGACUGGAGAGGGAGGCAGGGAUAAGAGGUUUAGAACCAAGGAAAACAAAGUCACCCGUCAGAGUCUACUGCCCUCGUGAUGGAAAGCGAGCGAGAGCGUUGAGACUCUGAGCAUUGUUGAUGCCACGCAAAAGCCAUCCAUCUGGGAGCCAAGGAGAUGCCGCUGUCAGUGAGAUAAGUGUCUUGUUUCAUGAGGGCUCUGCUCACGCCCAACCUGAGUCCAGGUAGGGAAGCCCACUAAGUUAGGGCUGGGUUUGUAUGAAAAGGUUCCUGACUAGGUGUGGUUACAAGGGGGAAAAGGUCCCUACUUUGAGAGGUUGCUCAUUUCUCUCGUCAGGAACAGUGUCUCCUCCGCAGCAGAAGGUUGGAUUCAGGAGGAUGACUCGAGGUGGUGAGCUGCUUGCUUUCCUCCCAUUUUUUUUUCUCUCUCUCUCUCCUCUUGUGUGUUGGCCAACUUUCUCACUCUUUCCUCUCCUGUCCUCGUGCGGUCUCCCUUCGUAGGAGACGGGCAGGCUUGCUCGGUGUGCAUCCCCGCAGGCCAGGUCUUGGGAGCCAUGGAGAAGUAAGAGGGGACGAAAACCAUGCAGGUCUGUGACUGUUGAUGUUAACUUGGUCUCUGUUCAUCGAGUGGGGCUGAUGUAGAUGGGAUUGGAGAGGGAGGCCAGGAGGAGGGCAAGAUUUGAGGCGACAUAUAGUGCUUUAAGUAGUGAUGGCUCAUGCUUGGCUUUUGCAGCUGCACUUCCAGAGGAAUUUUCCAAGAGCCCUAUCCUGAGGAGAAAGUGGCAGAAGUGGACAUGAGCAGACUGGACAUCCUUAUAAGCAGAUAUGAACAGUUCUCAGCUUUCUGACUCCCACAUAAUUGGCUGACCGAGGGAAAAGAAGUCACGCCUCAGAGACUCAAGCCCUCAUGUGAUGGAAAGCAAGCCGGAGUGACGAGACCAUGAGCAUUGUUGAUGUCACGCAAAAGCCGUCCAACUGGGAGGGGAACGGCCGCCACUCUCAGUGAGAUAAGUGUCUGGUUUGGUGAUUGUUGUGCUCAUCCAGGAGGAUGACUCCAGGUGGUGAGUUGCUUGCCUUCCUCCCAUGUCUUUCUAUCUGUCUCUCUCUCUUCUCUAGUACGUUGGCCAACACAAACCCUCUGUCUCUCUAUGUCUGUCCUUGCCUUUCCUUGUUCUGCCUCCCUUCGUAGGACACAGGCAGGUGUGCUAGGUGUGCAUCCCCAGAGGCCAGGUCUCGGGAGCCAUGGAGAAGUUGGAGUGGACGAAAAGCAUGCGGGGCAGUGGGCGCUAAAGUGGAGCUGUGACUGUCUGUGUUUACUCAGUCUCUGUUCAUCCAGUGGGGCUGAUGUAGAUGGGACUGGAGAGGGAGGCAGGGAUGAGGGCAAGAUUCAACGCACCAAUCGAGCUCUGUGUAGUGAUAGUUUUUGCUUGGCUUUAUUAGUUUGUGGAGGAAUCGUCCAGGAGCCCUAGCCGGACAAGAAUAUGGCAGAAGUGGACCUGAGCAGCCUGGACAUCCUUCUAAGGAGACGUGAAUAGUCCUCAUGUUUCUGCCUUCUGCAUCGCUGGCUGUGAGUAAGAGGUCAGUGCUUUGAAUUCCUCAUCUGUGCUCGCUGUAGUUUUCUUCACAGGCCGUGUGCUUCCUAGUUAGUUACGAGGCUCUGGGAUUAAGGCUGGGGAAGGGACAAGAGUUUCCUGAGGAAAGUGAGUUACAAUGGGUGCCUUCUAGUUGCAGUUGUAAUGUAGUAAUAGGAGAUGGGUUGAGGGCGGAGCCGUGGGAUAUGGGAGAAGUGAAAUGAAGAGACUAUGCGACAUUGCAGACAGAGAUGCUAAUUUUUUUGUUUUUCCCCCCUCUGCCUGGUUCCUUCCUCAUGUGAUGGAAAGCGAGCCAGAGCGUCGAGACUCUGAGCAUUGUUGAUGCCAUGCAAAAGCCGUCCAUCUGGGAGCCUAGCAGACACUGCUGAUAGUGAGAAGUGUCUGGUUUGGUGAGGGCUCUGCUCAGACUCCACCUGAGUCCAGGUUGGGAAGCCUAGUACAGUAGGGCGGGGUUUGUAUGAAUGGUUCCUGACUAACUGUGGUUACGAGGGAGAAAAGGUCCCUAUUUUCAGAGGUUGCUCAUUUCUCUGGUCAGGAACUGUGUCUCCUCUGCAGCUCAAGGUUACCUCCAGGAGAAUAACGCCAGGUGCUUCCUUUCCUCCCAUGUUUUUCUCUCUCUCUCUCUCUUCUCUAGUAUGUUGGCCAACACACUCUCUCUCCUCUCCUCUCCUCUCCUCUCCUCAUGCCCGUUUGUAGAACACUGGUUGGUGUACAGCCCAGGUCUCGGGAUCCAUGGAGAAGUAGGAGCGGAAGAAAAUCAUGCAGGGCAGUGGGCGCUAAAGUCGAGGACUGCCCUGUCACCAUUUGCUACACUCACAAUUUCCCAUUCCUGGGUCUAUGGGAAAGGAGUUGUGACAAAUGGGUUGGAUUUUGUCAGAGUUUCAGCCAGUGUUCCCUUCAAUUUUUCCCACUCAUGUGUGGAAGGAAUUUUGUUAUGUGCACCAAUAUGGAGGUGAUGUGUCACACAUUACCUCCACAUUGGUACACGUAACAAAAUUCAUGUGGCGGGUGUGGGGCCGAGGCGUUCGGAGUGUGGGACAGGGCUCAGGGCUGCGGCAGAGCGUUGAGGUGCGGGGGGGUGAGGGCUCCAUCUGGGGGUGUGGUCUCAGAG